rnacentral:lncRNA from 1 species
AAUUCUCAAUGAAGAACCUGUUCUGACAUCAUAUCAUCCAGAUAAAACUGCACAUUAUAAAAAAUCCAAUCAUCCAGAUAAAAGUCUGUGUCCUCUAUUCUUCUAGCUUUGCUGUGGCACAUACUUCAAUUGACAGGCGGCAUAAAAGUCAUUCCCGGACAAAAACAAAUCUUUGCUUCCACUUGUCUAUCUAGUCUGCAGCAAAACAAAAGCACUUGUAAAGUUUGGGAAAGAGCAUAUUAUUACUGCAUAAGAAAAUUUUAGUACGUUACACUAUAUUGACAUCAUUUGCUAGUUGCUCAAGAAAGAGAGUUUGCAGUGUAUAACCUGAAGAGAAUUUCAGUUACUAGCAUCACUCCUCAUCCCCAUCCAAAACCUUUGUAAGCCAUUCACAGAAUUGUUCAACCUCCUCCGGUUUAGUACGGUUUAUUAUAUUGACAUCAUUCGUUAGUUGAUCAAGAAAGAAACUUUGCAGUGUAUAACCUGAAGAGAAUUUCAGUUACCAGUAUCACUCCUCAUCCCCAACCAAAACCUUUGUAAGGCAUUCACAGAAUUGUUCAACCUCCUCUGCUUUAGUACGGUUUACUGUAUUGACAUCAUUCGCUAGUUGAUCAAGAAAUAGAGUUUGCAGCGUAUAACUUGAUGAGAAUUUCAGUUACCAGCGUCACUCCUCAUCUCCAACCAAAACCUUUGUAAGCCAUUCACAGAAUUGUUCAACCUACUCCGGUUUAGUACGGUUUACUGUGUUGACAACAUUUGCUAGUUGAUCAAGACAGAGAGUUUGCAGCGUAUAACCUCAAGAGAAUUUCAGUUACCAGCAUCACUCCUCAUCCCCAACCAAAACCUUUGUAAGCCAUUUACAGAAUUGUUCAACCUCCUCCGGUUUGGUACGGUUUACCAUGUUGACAUCAUUCGCUAGUUGAUCAAGAAAGAGAGUUUGCAGUGUAUAACCUGAAGAGAAUUUCAGUUACCAGCCUCACUCCUCAUCCCCAACCAAAACCUUUGUAAGCCAUGAAUUACUGGCCUUGUAAAAGAGAAU